GGGUACUCAUGCCAUCAUGAAAAGUUACCCCAAACCUAAUCCUAGCCUGGGCACGCUAUGUAGACUGAAAUGCUGAUACACAGUAGUGUUGAACAUGGAAAGAAGCACUUGGUUUGGCCUGGCAAGCCCUUGUCAGAUUGGUCACCUUCUUGCUUUGGGUUUGGCAGGUCUGAAACCUUACCUUGAGCCACAAUCCCACAUGUACAUGCCCUAAAAUUCAUCCUGGGCCUCUUCCUUUCUCUAGGGAUGAACCCGUGACACACCGUGACCAUGCCCUACAGGGGUGCUGGUGGGGACACCUGUGAGAAAACAAGCUCACGCUUCUCCAGAGACCAUGCAGACUCCAGGUUUUCUGAAAUGUGGUUUGAUGGAGUGCUUCCAAUACACAUUGAUUGCUUUCACAAAAAUGGCUGUCCUGAGCUACCAUGAGUUCAAGCUGUGCUAGGGCUUGGGCUAGGCUUGGAGUAAGGACUGCCCUUGCUCAGGUACCAAGAAAUGGGGCCUUGCUAAAGGAUGGAUCUUUAGGAUCAACCUACUUGCCACCGUACUGACAUGUUGAUGCGUUGGAUACUCUGCCAGGAG
rnacentral:lncRNA from 1 species